GGAUUGGCGUAAUUGGCAGCGCAACUGAUUUGUAAUCAGUGGGUUGGGGGUUCGAGUCCCUUAUCCGG
rnacentral:tRNA from 1 species